rnacentral:rRNA from 1 species
CCUACGGGAGGCAGCAGUAAGGAAUAUUGGUCAAUGGACGCAAGUCUGAACCAGCCAUGCCGCGUGCAGGAUGAAGGCCCUCUGGGUUGUAAACUGCUUUUAUAGGGGACGAAAAAGGGACUUUCUAGUUCAACUGACGGUACCCUAGGAAUAAGCACCGGCUAACUCCGUGCCAGCAGCCGCGGUAAUACGGAGGGUGCAAGCGUUAUCCGGAUUUACUGGGUUUAAAGGGUGCGUAGGUGGGUCGGUAAGUCAGCGGUGAAAUCUUCGAGCUUAACUCGGAAACUGCCAUUGAUACUAUCGAUCUUGAAUCAUCUGGAGGUAAGCGGAAUAUGUCAUGUAGCGGUGAAAUGCUUAGAUAUGACAUAGAACACCAAUUGCGAAGGCAGCUUACUACGGAUGUAUUGACACUGAGGCACGAAAGCGUGGGGAUCAAACAGGAUUAGAUACCCUGGUAGUCCACGACCUAACCGAUAGAUACUACGACAUACGUGAUAUACUAUAGUGUGUNUGNGCGAAGACGAUUAAGUUAUACCACCGUACGGUAAGGUAACGUAGUUCGCGAAGAGUUAGUAACGUUACGAAGGAAGUUAGUUACGGGCGUUGAGGACGUUGCCGACGGACGACCGACGAGGGGAGGUUAGGGAGG